rnacentral:lncRNA from 1 species
CUCAUGAGAGUCCCUGGAACUGCAGCCAUAAUGAAAUUGGUGGAAUGGCCAUGUCUGCUCAGGGAAGACUACAGAAACCCAGCCACCAAGGGCUCUAUUCCACUAAACAUUUGGGGACUCCACCAGCCAAAUAACCCAGCCCAGCGGUGAUGCUGACUGAAGGUAAAAGUAACAUAGACUGGAAUAUGGAGGAAAGAACUUGUAAAUACUGACUCUAGUGAUGAAUUACUGAUAUAUGUACACUAAACAUUUAAUGUUAAAUAGUCAGAGGAACAGUCUGUGUGUGGUAUUUAUGGUGCUUUCAUGCUCAGCAUCCAUUCAAGUCUCCUUCCAGUGAACUUUCC